UGAAAAGGACCAAUACAAACACAUAGAUAUAUUUAAGAGGCAUUUAGUAUUAUUCUAAUUUUAUGAAGAGUUUUUAAAAUUUUAUAAAUGUUUAAACAAUUUAAUGAUUAUGAGAGCAUGAACUUUAUACACUAUAAAUAGAUCAAAUCUUAUCCUACAUUAGAUUCAAAGAGUGAAAAAUAUAGCUGAAACUCUGAAGUUUAUUUAUAUUUUGAUUAUAUUUAUUUUCAUAUUUCUUGUCUUAAUAGUAUGUGAUUCCACUUUUAUACAUUUUUCUAUUCCUUGUAUAACAGAUAAAGAUUGUUCAAUCCUGCAAAAUUAUAAAGCUAGAUGUCGGAAAGGCUAUUGUUUAAGACGCAGGAUAAGAUGAACUAGUUCUUUCUCUACCAAAAGAACUGUACAAUAUAUUGUAUGCUAGAAUAUUCGAGAAGUUGUCAUUUAGUAUUUGCGUAUGCACCAAAUAAUUGUAUUUUUAAAGUUGUGAUUUUAUACUCUAAGAUGAUUGCAAUGAUAUGAAAUAAGACAGCAGAUAUUUUUUUUAUAGAUGUCUUUUUAUCUCGUAAAUUUGAAGGUAUCCUGAUGAUUUGCAUUCUAGACAUAUCACUCCUUUUUUUUCAACCCAACCAUCUAAAAAAAUCAAUAUAAUAGUUUGGUUGAAAAUUAAUUUUUAUCUUACUUUUUGUAAAAAAAAAAUAUAUAUAUAUUUAUUCAUUCAACUUUGUAGAUGAUGACGAAUUCAGCAAGUACAUCAAAUCGUUUCAAUUAAUAAAUCACUAAGUUAACUUCUUCACAUGAAUAGUUGUUUUCGACACGACUAUUAAACUAAAGGCUUAAACGCACUUUUGAUCCCCUUAUUUAAAAAAAAAAAAAACAAAAGAAAUUUUGGUCCUCUCAUUUAAAAUCCAACUUUUUUUUGUCCAUGUGAGCUUAGCUUAGUUAGUAAGAACAAUGCAUAAUAUAUGUAAGGUUCGGGGUUCAAACUCAGACAAUAAAAAAAAUCCAACUUUAUGGUCCCCUUGUUACACAAUUAUUGAGUUUUCUUU
rnacentral:lncRNA from 1 species